CCCUUAGAUGUUCUGGGCCGCACGCGCGCUACACUGAUGCAUUCAACGAGCCUAUCCUUGACCGACAGGUCCGGGUAAUCUUUGAAUCUGCAUCGUGACGGGGAUAGAUUAUUGCAAUUAUUAAUCUUCAACGAGGAAUGCCUAGUAGGCGCAAGUCAUCAGCUUGCGUCGAUUACGUCCCUGCCCUUUGUACACACCGCCCGUCGCUCCUACCGAUUGGGUGUGCUGGUGAAAUGUUCGGAUCGGCCGUUUGUCGCGGUUUCCGCGUCAUGUGGCUGAGAAGUUCAUUAAACCCUCCCACCUAGAGGAAGGUGAAGUCGUAACG
rnacentral:rRNA from 1 species